rnacentral:snRNA from 1 species
AGCUUUGCGCAGUGGCAGUAUCGUAGCCAACGAGGUUUAUCCGAGGUGCGAUUAUUGCUAAUUCAAGUGUACAAGUCUAUAAUAAAGUAAACAUUUUGAGAGAGGCCAAUACCU